UGACGGUACCUGACUAAGAAGCCCCGGCUAACUACGUGCCAGCAGCCGCGGUAAUACGUAGGGGGCAAGCGUUAUCCGGAUUUACUGGGUGUAAAGGGAGCGUAGACGGAGAAGCAAGUCUGAUGUGAAAGGCAUGGGCUCAACCAUUGUUCGCUUUGGAAACUGUUAGACUUGAGUGCAGAAGGGGAGAGUGGAAUUCCAUGUGUAGCGGUGAAAUGCGUAGAUAUAUGGAGGAACACCGGUGGCGAAAGCGGCUCUCUGGUCUGUAACUGACGCUGAGGCUCGAAAGCGUGGGGAGCAAACAGGAUUAGAUACCCUG
rnacentral:rRNA from 1 species